CGGGUGAGUAACACGUGACUAACCUACCCUCGAGUGGGGAAUAACUCCGGGAAACCGGGGCUAAUACCGCAUAACAUCGCAAGAUCAAAGCAGCAAUGCGCUUGAGGAGGGGGUCGCGGCUGAUUANCUAGUUGGCGGGGUAACGGCCCACCAAGGCGAAGAUCGGUAUCCGGCCUGAGAGGGCGCACGGACACACUGGAACUGAAACACGGUCCAGACUCCUACGGGAGGCAGCAGUGGGGAAUUUUGCGCAAUGGGGGAAACCCUGACGCAGCAACGCCGCGUGGAGGAUGAAGCCCUUUGGGGCGUAAACUCCUUUCGNCCCAAAACAUAAUUAC
rnacentral:rRNA from 1 species